UUGUUCCCCUUUCUAAAGGUAUUAUGUUUGCCCUUCUCCAGUCCUCUGGGACCUCACCCUUCUUCCAUGAGUUCUCAAAGGUAAUCACUAAUGGCUCCAAAAUUGCUUCAGCUAGUUCCUUAAGAGCCCUAGAAUACAUUUCAUAAGGCCCUGCUGACUUGAAUAUAUCUAACUUCUCUAAAUAUUCGUUAACCUAUUAUUUCCCUACUGUGGCUUGUGUUCCUUCCCCUUUGUUGUUUAUAUUAGUUGUGUUGAGUUGAGUUGGUUUUGGAACAUCUUAUUCAAAUGGAUAGCACACAACAGGGAUAGCAAGGUGCUCCAGGUAAAUAUGAUAGCUGAAUGCUUCUAGUAUGAUGAUCAGAAGAGAGGGGGUUAACUAUGUUAUUUAAGUGGUCAUAAUUAAAACUUCAGUUAAUAUCCCAAAGGUACGGGGAAGAAGGACCUUUCUAGGUGCUAUUAGGUCAACUUAGUCUGGCUACAGACUCAAUAAAACAAUAAUAUUUCUAUUAUACCCAAUCACUUCUUACAAUUCAUGUCACCCUGUAAACUAUCACCAUGAAUGUUAUCACAUAAGGGGUGAGGGAAGAGUCCCUGAUGGAGCCCUAACUGUUCCUUUCCACUGAAGUGUUAACAUUAUGGGGAAUUGUACAGGAACUGAUCUAGAAGGAUUGCUGUGGAGCGAGGCAAAAGCACAGUCCAUCUCUUCCUCCCCUGACUCCCUGUCCCUGGGGUGAGAUACUGCUAAUAUGCCAACAUACUUCUCCGCGAUGAUUAAUCUCACUCUGCCUCAAGACAGCACUCCAGGGUAAUUCAUCUUUGGUGACAGACACUCACGCUUGUACAAAUGUUUAGCCUAAACCCACAUGGAAUUUGAUCCUCAUCAGUUUCGUAAAACAACAAGAGAAGUCACUUUUGCUGAAGUUUUGAGCCCUUCUCACCUUCACGGGAUUUGCCAGCAGCAUAACUUGGGUGAUGGCAGCAGGUGCCUGGAUGGGGUUGAAUGGAGAAAGUUCUGUACCCGAGGGUGGCUGCAACUUCACUUUCAUGGACUGCAAAUGUAAAACAAAAGGAAUCUUCAGAAACUGUAUUUCUCCUUGCCAGAACAACAUUGGGUCACUUGAACUCCAUGACGCCUGGAUACUGGAGUGGAUGGACACAUCUCAAUUUCAUUAAUAAGUAGGGCUGGAUGUAUAUGUGCAUGUAGACAACUUGCGGUAAAUGCCAGAUUGACAACCCUGGAGACAGUCCUCUAUAUCCAUAGAUCAGAUAUUACAAAGACAGCAGCAGUUCAAGCUUCUCCUCACCAAUUCCUGAUUCAGAGUGCCCCCUUGAGAAGUGAGAAGGUAGUUCAUUCCGCAUGGUUCAUUUGAUCCUUGCCCUUUCUGCUAUUAUAUUCCAACUAGGGAACCAACUAUAGAUGUUUUGUGAUGCAAACACCUGUUAACUGGGACCCAGAGUGAGACUCACCAACAAAUUCAUUUCACACAGCCCCCCCCAACAGCCACUGGAUGAUAUCAACUUUCAGUUACUACGGACUGGAUGUGAACUGGCAAUCCUAAAGGUGAAAGGUUCUAGACCUCAUUGCUAAUUCCCUUGAGUCAUUCAGUCCCCAAAGCUGCAAGCACAGAUGAGCAGGCCGGUUUAAAUAGUUGAACUAGUGCAAUACUAAUGGAGAGUGAAAAAACAAAUCCAGUGAUUCUGCUGUUCACGAGUCACUAAAGCUAUGUACCAGCUAGUGUUAAAAUGUUUACAAAUGACAAAGCAAGCCCCUGAUAAUGAUCAUUACUACAGGGGUUUCUUAAAUAAUUCUAUUGCGUUUUCUUACCUCUUUUACCAUUGAUUUAAUAAGCUUGUUUGCCUCUUGUAAGUCAUCUGGGUUUUUGCUUUUUAACAGUUUGGCUAAAAGCUGUAAGAAGAGAAGAGAACUUUUUAGGAAAAAGUAGCCUCUUAAUGAAGGGAGGCAGAAAGAUCAUGUAUCCAAUGGCUGCUGCACUGGAGAAAGGGAAGUGGACAGCUCAGAGAAAGCAGACUUAGGUCAAAGCUUUUUCAGCUACAGUAACUUCCUUAGGAGUCAUUCAAUGGAUUUGCUAUUUUGUUUUUUGUUAAAUUAUCCGAUUUUCUUUCAUGUACAGUACAAGCACAUUGGGAUCUUGGAGACUUUCUGAUACUAGACAAGAGUUCCUCCUGGUGCAGAAAGGUGAAAAGCUUUUCCUCUCCUCCAUUACAGAAGUUGAGGAGUGACUUAACUAGAAAUGGCCAGACAGUGACAACACUGAGAUGGUCUCUCACUCAGGAUUUCAACUCUGAGUCUCCAAGUGUAGCACCUAAGAGCCCCAGUCAUGGACCAGGACCUCAUUGUGCUAGACGCCAUACAAACACAAGACAAAAAGACAGUCAGAUUGGACAGAAUAAUGUACAACUGGAAACUGUUCAGCACUGGCUGGGAGAUGGACUAACCAAGACUUUUUCUACCUUAAACUUCCAGGAUUCUGUGAAUAGAGAGUGACUUGCCCUUAAAGAUAUGAUUCCAAAUAUUGAAGUCUGUAACAGUUCCUGUUAUAAAAUCUUUUUAAAAGACAAACUCUAUUUAUUUCAUCUGAAGCCUGUAACUCCUACUGUGAAAUGAUAGCUCUGAAUAUGGCCUGGGUUUCCCCCUGGUGUAACAUGACUGUAUAACAUAUCAGAGAGACUCAAUCGGUGAAGUUGUAGCUCCAAAGUUUCUC